rnacentral:rRNA from 1 species
GACGAACGCUGGCGGCGUGCUUAACACAUGCAAGUCGAACGGAAAGGCCCUGCUUGCAGGGUACUCGAGUGGCGAACGGGUGAGUAACACGUGGGUGAUCUGCCCUGCACUUCGGGAUAAGCCUGGGAAACUGGGUCUAAUACCGGAUAGGAGCCAUUUUUAGUGUGAUGGUUGGAAAGUUUUUUCGGUGUAGGAUGAGCUCGCGGCCUAUCAGCUUGUUGGUGGGGUAAUGGCCUACCAAGGCGGCGACGGGUAGCCGGCCUGAGAGGGUGGACGGCCACAUUGGGACUGGGAUUCGGCCCAGACUCCUACGGGAGGCAGCAGUGGGGAAUAUUGCACAAUGGGCGCAAGCCUGAUGCAGCGACGCCGCGGGGGGGAUGACGGCCUUCGGGUUGUAAACUCCUUUCGCUAGGGACGAAGCUUUUUGUGACGGUACCUAGAUAAGAAGCACCGGCUAACUACGUG